GAAUCAUAUGUGUUUAAUGUGCUUAUUUAGUUAUGUGUUUGUUAGUUUAGCUUAGCCAUUAGCAUGGUUAUAGGCUUAAUUAGUUUAUCUAUUUGUUUUAGCUUAUAGUUUUAAGCAUGUCUGGUGAUCACUCUUGUCAUAUGAAGACUAGUGUUAACCCUUAUAUGAUGAUUUUAAUCUUGUUUUAAUAAGUAAAUCUUGUUUUGAAGCCAAAUCUAUGCUCAUGUUGACUAAAUCUUGAACUAGAUGAGUUUUAAAACUUGUAUCUGUUUUUUCAUGUGUGGUUGUUAUUUAAGUUCAACCUAGCAAAUGUUAUCAUGUGUUGAAAGGUUCCAUGUGUUUGUAUGCUUAAGCUGUUAGGUUAACGUAAUCUAGUGUUAGUUAUAAGUCAUAUCAUGUCUCAUGAAAGCUAAGCAUAUGAUCAUUGUGAUAAUGCUAAGUAACCUGUCUUGAACCCUGAAUAUAUCAUCUGCCUUAUCCAAUGUUUCUUUUGUGUGUGUCUAUUCAAUGAAUGGUUUUGCCCCUUUUUAAAUGUAGAUAUUUGUUCAAAUUAGUUUAAACAUCAUUAAUCACUUGAUGGAUGCUGAUCCAAAUAGUAAAUGAGAGUUCGGACAAAUAAAAAUGAGUUGCUUGCUUACCUGACGUGCCUGCUUCACCAACUUACUUCCCGUACUACUUACUUGAGCUACUUGAUACGUAUCUUAACUACGAAGUAAGGAUAAGACACGUGUUAAAUUAAACCGACCAGCAAAGCGACACCUAUUUAAUUAAGCAAGUAGGUGACAAAUAGGUGCAUCAACUACUUGCUUAAAAAGGAAAGGCCAAGAUUUACACACCCAAAAAGGGGCAGAUUUAGGACGGCCAAGGGCCCCUUUAUAUGGGCUGAUCCUAUCACAUUUUCACCAUAUUUUCUGGAGCAAAACAUAGGAUAAAACCCACUGCAACUCCUUUCCCCAAAAUCUCCACAAACCCUAGGUGAUUUCGAGUGAAACGAAGUGAUUCUUGUGCCGAAAUACCGGGACUGCUUGCUAGUUUCUCUUUCUCCUUUUUGUAGCUGUGUUGGGGGACUGAUUUGAGAUGAGGAAGGACUAGGUUUCAUGGCUUAUACUCAUUCCAAGGUUGAAGCACUAUGGGCAGUAUAUACUGAGUCAUUGACAACAAAGUAUAGGUAAGACAUGUUGACGAUGCUAGCUCCAUAACGAUAUUCGGAGAUCACCGACCCUACGUCACUCCAAAAGGCCCAAAAGUUAUUCCUAUGAGUCAUUCACGCAUUGUAUAUAUAUGUAUACACUUAUUUUACCACACCGAGGGUGCGCUAUAGUCGGCCGGGUACGACACCUAUUGUGCACACCACUGCAGUUGGGUACGGAUAACACCGAGCCUGUCAUGGCCAGGUACAGCUAACACCGAGCCUAUAUUAUAUGGCUGGGUACGGUAUGAUGAUAUAUGUCUAUGAUUUGUGAAAGAAAGCAUGCAUAUCAUACGCCUCAGAGGCACUUCCAGAUGUAUAGAGUUAUAUAGACACAUUCAGAUAUACACAUUGACUCUCAUGUCCUAGAUUUCUUUCAUGAUUCUUAUAUAUGUUGUUUUCAUGCCUUACAUACUCGGUACAUUAUUCGUACCAACUCCCCUAUUGUUUGGGGGCUGCGUUUUAUGCCCGCAGGUCCCGAGAUAUAGGUUGGUGAUCCAUCUAGUAGGAUGUCAGCUCAGCGGGUAAAAUUGUUGCACUCCAUUUGCUCUGGAGAUGCUAGGGGUCAGCACGAAUAUAUAUAUAUAUAUAUAUAUAUAUAUAUAUACACACACACACACACACACAUAUGUACAUAUGCAUGGAUAUGGCUGGGCCUUGUACCAACCACGUUAUGUUAUGUUUGUUGGGUUAAACAGUCCAAAUAUACUCUUAACAUGAUGUGAUAUUGUCCGCUUUGGGCCAAGCCCGCACGGUUUUCCCCAAAAGGCCUCACAUCGUUAAGAGUAUCCAACUCCUUAUAAGUAGCUCCUUUUUCUUUUCAGCUACCAAUGUGGUACUUUGUUUGCACACCCAACAAUCUCCCCCUGGAACUAAGUUCCACGUGGCUCAUUAUCAUACCACAGAUUAGAGAUUCAACAUGUCUGUGUGCCACCUACACUGUCAGAGUGUUUACGGUCACCGAAGCUCAAAGGUUGUGUAUGCGUCUUCAAAACUACGAGUAAAGGUUGUAAACCGGCCCAUAGACAGGCCAAGGCACUAAGCCGGCCCCACGCCAUACUCUACCAUCUUCUUACUCGUCCCGCCAAACCAUUGUCUAUGAUACCAGUUGUUGGGCAAAACAGUCCAAAGAUACUCUUAACAUGAUGUGAUGUUGUCCGCUUUGGCCUAUGCCCGCACGGUUUUCCCCAAAAGACCUCACAUCAUUAAGAGUAUCCAACUCCCUAUAAGUAGCUCCUUUUUCUUUUCAGCUACCAAUGUGAUACUUUGUUCGCACCCAACAAUGUUUUCCAGUAGAGGCUUGUCGACAGUUAUGUACUGUCAGCUAAUGUUCAGUCCUGUUGUUUCAUAUAUUGCCACACAGAUGAUCAUGACAACCUUGUUGGCUCGUAUACUAUGUCCCGCAUAACCAUAUAGAUGAGUCUUUCAGACUAUUUUAAUACAGACACUUUUUCCUUAUGAGUCUAUUGAGUAUCAUAUGAUGGCCCUACUGGCCCACCUAUGUUCAUAUUGAUGUCACAGAUGUAUGUUAGAUGGUACUUGACUAGUAUGGUCAGGUGCCCAUCAUGGCCCUCCAGUUGGGUCGUGACAAAUAUGUCUUGCUUGGUAUGAUAGGAUAUGAGCAUGAAGUAAUCAGAUGAUAGUUUAAAUAGGUGUGAAGGAUAUGAGCAUGAAGUAAUCAGAGUGAUUUCUUUUCCUUUCUAUAUAAAUUGCUAAGUCUAGAUGCAUUCUAACCGCCUUCCUUCUUUUUCCCCUCCCCUUUUUUUCAUGGAACCACCACCGUUGUGCCAUUUGGACCAGGUUUCUUACAAGCCACUAUUGGGCCAGAGGCCCAACGCCCUUCUUUGAUCAAGUCUAAAUAUGUAAAGGCCCAACUAUGGGUGAAAAUGGUUAACUAGUGGGCUCGGUAGGCCCAUCAGCCUUACCUUUGCUCCUUUCAGUUUUAUUUGUGUAUAAAUAUAUACCCAUUGUAUAAACGCUUGUAAAUAUUGAAACCCCCUAUGGUUAUGAGCUUAGACGAUUAGGCAAAUGAUACUUAUAUUGUUAGCAUGGAUAGGAACCCUCAAAUGAUUUUCAAAACUAGACCCAACAAAAGAUAGGAUAAUCAUAUCUUCAAGAGUUGAAAUAAAUAAUUUUACGACUCCUUCUUUUUAGAAACUACCAAUUGAGAAAUCAGUAUACUUAUAUACUUUUUUUUUU